rnacentral:rRNA from 1 species
GACGAAUGCUGGCGGCGUGCUUAACACAUGCAAGUCGAACGGAAAGGCCCCUUUGGGGGUACUCGAGUGGCGAACGGGUGAGUAACACGUGAGUAACCUGCCCUUGACUUCGGGAUAACUUCAGGAAACUGGGGCUAAUACCGGAUAGGAAUCCUUGCUGCAUGGUGGGGGUUGGAAAGCUUCGGCGGUUUUGGAUGGACUCGCGGCUUAUCAGCUUGUUGGUGGGGUAGUGGCUUACCAAGGCUUUGACGGGUAGCCGGCCUGAGAGGGCGACCGGCCACAUUGGGACUGAGAUACGGCCCAGACUCCUACGGGAGGCAGCAGUGGGGAAUAUUGCACAAUGGGCGGAAGCCUGAUGCAGCAACGCCGCGUGCGGGAUGACGGCCUUCGGGUUGUAAACCGCGUUCAGCAGGGGCGAAGCUUGUGGUGACGGUACCUGCAGAAGAAGCACCGGCUAACUACGUG